AAGUCGUAACAAGGUCUCCGUAGGUGAACCUGCGGAGGGAUCAUUACCAGAGAUGGCGGGCCCCGCGCCCCCGUCCCCAACCCUUUGUUGACCCAAAAACCUUUUGCCUCGGGGGCAGAGCGGCCGCCGCCGCCGCCCCCGGAGGACCACCAAACUCUGUCUCUGUACGUCGGAGUCUUAAUGCAAAUGAAUAAAAACUUUCAACAACGGAUCUCUUGGUUCUGGCAUCGAUGAAGAACGCAGCGAAAUGCGAUAAGUAAUGUGAAUUGCAGAAUUCAGUGAAUCAUCGAAUCUUUGAACGCACAUUGCGCCCUUUGGCAUUCCGAGGGGCAUGCCCGUUCGAGCGUCAUUAAAUCCAUUCAAGCCUGGCUUGGUAUUGGACGUCGAGAUCUCCUCGCGUCUCCAUUUCGCCGGCUGGCCGUCGUUUGACUUAGCGUUGUGACACAUGUCGUUAACGAAAACGCGGACUGUGCCGUUAGAAUUCUCUUGGAUGUUAAUCAAUGUCCAGUAAAUGUUGACCUCGGAUCGGGUAGGAAUACCCGCUGAACUUAA
rnacentral:rRNA from 1 species